UCUCAUCAGAAAAACGUGGAGAUUGACUCUUGCCCUGGUCCACCCUUUUCAGAAAAGCUAGAAAUCCAUGCCUUAGACUGACAAGAGCCUGGAAUCCAAAUCUUUCCUUUCAGGGGGAUGCUCUCAUGGGACAUAAGGACAUCAAAUACCUACUUUAGGCAUUCUGAACCAGCUCAUAGCUACAAAAGAAAAGCUGUCUGUGGAGUCUAUACAAUACAGCUUUGCUGAAGAAAGUCUUAACCCUCUGACAUGUCAUUCCCAUUUGGCUCAUCUCUUGCUAGUGAAAAACGCACUCUGCAUUUGGGGCUGAGACUACACAAGCCCCAGGAAGAAUCCCACACUCUUGGACUCCAAGGGGCUGGAUGAAGCAAACUGCACCAUUUCCCAUCACAAGAGCAUCCAGCUGUGACCAGCACCCACACUGCACCUCCAACACACUUCUAGGUGAGUCAAUGGCACAGAAUACCAACUGCCUAGCAGAGUGAAGAAAAGAACU